rnacentral:rRNA from 1 species
CCUACGCGCUGCAGCAGUGGGGAAUAUUGGACAAUGGGCGAAAGCCUGAUCCAGCCAUGCCGCGUGUGUGAAGAAGGCCUUCGGGUUGUAAAGCACUUUCAGUGGGGAAGAAAGCCUUGGGGCUAAUACCCUCGAGGAAGGACAUCACCCACAGAAGAAGCACCGGCUAACUCCGUGCCAGCAGCCGCGGUAAUACGGAGGGUGCGAGCGUUAAUCGGAAUUACUGGGCGUAAAGCGCGCGUAGGCGGUCUGAUAAGCCGGUUGUGAAAGCCCCGGGCUCAACCUGGGAACGGCAUCCGGAACUGUCAGGCUAGAGUGCAGGAGAGGAAGGUAGAAUUCCCGGUGUAGCGGUGAAAUGCGUAGAGAUCGGGAGGAAUACCAGUGGCGAAGGCGGCCUUCUGGACUGACACUGACGCUGAGGUGCGAAAGCGUGGGUAGCAAACAGGAUUAGAUACCCCAGUAGUC